rnacentral:rRNA from 1 species
CCUANGGGGGGCAGCAGUGGGGAAUAUUGCGCAAUGGGGGAAACCCUGACGCAGCGACGCCGUGUGAGUGAUGAAGGUUUUCGGAUCGUAAAGCUCUGUCGGGUGGAAAGAAUAAAGGCUGUGUAAAUAAUGCAGUCUGAUGACGGUACCACCAAAGGAAGCACCGGCUAACUCCGUGCCAGCAGCCGCGGUAAUACGGAGGGUGCAAGCGUUGUUCGGAAUUAUUGGGCGUAAAGGGCGUGUAGGCGGGUAUGUAGGUCAGGUGUGAAAUCCCUCGGCUCAACCGAGGAAGUGCAUCUGAAACCGCGUAUCUUGAGUACGAGAGAGGCAGAUGGAAUUCCCAGUGUAGAGGUGAAAUUCAUAGAUAUUGGGAAGAACACCGGUGGCGAAAGCGGUCUGCUGGCUCGAUACUGACGCUGAGACGCGAAAGCGUGGGGAGCAAACAGGAUUAGAUACCCCANUANUC